GUGAGGAACACGUGGAUAACCGACCGUAUGCCGGGGAAUACCAGCCCGAAAGGGUUGCUAAUACCGCAUAAGCUGGAGACAGGAAAGCCUACGGGCAGCAUACGACGGGUCUGCGGGCGAUUAGCUAGUUGGGGGGGUAACGGCCUCCCAAGGCGAUGAUCGCUAGCUGGUCUGAGAGGAUGAUCAGCCACACUGGGAUUGAGAACGGCCCAGACUCCUACGGGGGGCAGCAGUGAGGAAUCUUCGUCAAUGGGCGCAAGCCUGAACGAGCGACGCCGCGUGCGGGACGACGCGUUUCGGCGUGUAAACCGCUUUUCUGGGGGACGAGAAGGGACGGUACCCCAGGAAGAAGCAUCGGCUAACUACGUGCCAAGCCGCCGCGG
rnacentral:rRNA from 1 species